UUCUGACGUGUAGCUAAUGACGGAAUACUAGUUGCCUUUCCAGGAUUCAGAUGUUUAAAUACCUGAUCAGUGGAUAUAAUUUUUCACAAUCGGUGAAAACAAAAAAAAACAUAAAAGAAUACUAAUACACCUGCUUUUGGUCGUGGACACAACUUGUGAAGUCAUAACUCUUUUGAAAUGUUUUAAAAGCACGUUUGAAAAUGUAUUUAUCUCCCAUUCGCUCCAAAAUCAAUGAUUUUCUAGUGCUUGUAGGAUCAGAUGCAGAUGGACCAAGACUCAUAGACAUAUGCAAUGACUUUGGAGCGGUUAAUUUGUUUCUCAGUAAAGAAGACGAGACGUUUUCCUUCUUUACCAAAGAUUGUGAUGAAGACAAAGAAGUGGUUUUUGAAGCUGGCUUGUACACUCUUGGAGUUGAAAGCCCUGGUGAGGGUUUUGAGAUAGGUGCUGCUGGUUUCUUCGUUGGUUUCAUCAUGUUUUUGAUCUCCUUGCUUGGUGUCUUACUUGUUGCAAUCUUGUUAGUUGUCGGUUUUGUUCUCACCUGAUCAGGCUGUAGAUACAAAGUUAAGCAAGGAGUUCAAAACUUAAAUAGGUGAAGAACAGAAACUUGUCCAAAACUUAUAGAUUUUGUUAGCUGAUCCUAAAAUAUAUAAAGCUUAAAACAAUUAUAGUUCAAAUACCAAAUGUUCCAUAUAUAUAUAUGAUCUUUCAAAAGGUAGAUAUUUCAUAUGUCUAUUGAUCAUUUAAAAUUUUGGAACCAAAAACAAAAAAUUUAUAUGAGUGUUCCCAGAUUAGGCACUGUUGUGUUCACAAAGAAAAUUAUACAUAAAAUGCUUCUUUUUAUAGAAAUAGCCUUUCACGCAGAUUCCAAACGGUUGGUUCAGUAGAUAAAAACAAAAACUGGAAUGGCACACUAAUGAUAUUUUUAUAAACGCGUAAAGAAGAAUAUAUUUCCUAACAUAUAUUAUUUUGGUAAAAUAAAUUCCUUUACUAAGUUGAGGACAUGAUGAGAACAUUUUUAUUUAAGUAGACACUGAUCACAGAAAGAAAGAGAAAUUGCAAUACCAUACUACCAUUUUUUUUAAAAACACCGAAUUUUAAAAAUUUAUUAUUUAGUGAUUAUUAUUUAGGGUUUAAUAUUUAGGGGGUAAGGUAGAAUUUAUAAACUUCUAUUAAUGUUUUAUAAAUUAUUAUUAACAUUUAUAAAUGUUAGUUUAGUUAUUUUUCAUAACUUAAGAUAUUUAUGGAAAUGAUUAUUUUUACAGUAAAUUUGAAAUGUAGCAUCUAAUUGUGAUAUAUAAAAUUAAAAAUUUCUCUAGAAAGAAUGGAGCGAGUGGCAAGUCUCAAUCAUUAAGUUAAUAUAUUUGGCAGAUUACUUUUCUUUGUUAAGUUGGGGACAGGAAGAACAAUCUUCUUAAUAACUAGAGAUUGCUAACAAUGAAAAAGAAAAUGUAGAGUGAUAAAUCUGAAUUAAAAAUUUUAGUUAUUUUAGAAGAAAAUUAAAUAAAUUGUCUACAACAGCUGUAAUUAAUAUCUUAUUCAAAAACUCUAAACAUGUUAUUCAGGGACUCCACGUGUUCCGUAGUCUCUUGCUGGCUUCUUAACUUCUCAACAACGUUAAAUGUAGCAAGUCCGUUUACGAAUAUAGACCAUAUUUUACUUACUUUUUAGCAGUCGCUAUUGUGAGUUUUUUGUAGUAAUAUUUUGUUGUUAUUGAAAUUAACAAAACUGGAAAAUAAAGAAAAUACAAAGUUACCCCACAAAUAGAACGCAAUGCCAACCCAUUUGACCGAGUAAACCUUAAGACGCGUCAAGAUAAUACAAACACAAGUCGUCCAUAGCGUCAACUCCAAUCUAUAUAAAUGCUUUGAAUGUAAUCAAAGUGAUCAUCACUCAAUAGUAUUAAGAUGGCGGGCUCUAUACUCUCCUCCAUCAUUUUCUUCCUUCUUUUUAUCGGACUUUCUUUUUUUGUUGAUGCUCAUAUGGAACACCGUAAAUUAAGUGGAGCAAAAGAGACAAUAUCCAUGAGGAGGAACUUGGAAGGAAAUGGGGGCUCCAAAAUUAAAACUUCACCGAGCUGGUCGCGACGCAGUGGACAAAAAAAACACUCAACAUGAGCCGUCCAAACCCCUUCCUGAUCAAGCGACGCACCAAGGGCGAGGAAAUUAUAUAUCUUAUGCGGAUCUUAAAAAUCAGACGACGACAAGGAAUUGCACCAUUUACGAAAGAUGUAAGCGUAAAGUAAGGGGCUAGCUAAGGCACACCCCGGACUAGUCAAUGGACUUGGAUAUUACUUUGGGUUUGUACGUUGUUGUGGGUUUUCUAUUUCCGUUGUGUUUCAUUAUUAACUGUCUUUUUACUGAUGGAAUAAGCAAUUCUUGGAAACUAGAUAAUAUAUUCUAUCAAAUCCCUCGUAGCUCUUCAUUAUAUAUCUUGUAAACUUUCUGUUUGAUCAAACAAUUUCCAUCUGUUAUACACAAACACAAGCAACACACACACAUAUAUAUAUAUAUAUAUAUAGAUUGUAUAUUACAAAGCUAUAGUUCUCAUGUAUUUGUGUAUUAGCUGUGUCAAAAUUCGGAGAUUAACAUGAGAAAGUGUGCAAGUUGUAGUACGGCGAAAGAUAAAUAUUUACUUAGUUUUUCUUUUGUUCAAUCUUUCCUAUCUCUCAUCAGCGUCACUCUUGAUGUUCAUGAAUGCAACUAUAUCGCGGUGGUGCGAGUUUUCUAGAAAUAGAUUUUGUAAUGGCAACUAGUAUUAUUACAUAGAGGCAACUAGAGACUUCUCUAUAUAACAAAAAGACCAUUAGCUCUUCACCUCAAGACUAAUGUAACAACAUUGAUAACAAAUAUCACACCAGAACGGGACGGAUGAAACUAAUCAUAACUGUCACGGUCCAAGCCCAGCAAAUUUUAAAACCUUAAACGUAAAGCCCACGUUUUAAGCCAAAACCCUAAAAAAAGAUAUUUUAGUAAUUUUGAAUGAUCUGAACCUUAAACUCUUCUACAUAUAUACUGAGGGCACGACCUAGAGGAGAGGGAGAGACAAUUUUUACGGCGAAGCUCUGCCAAAAUAACCGACAACGCAGCCUGCAGUUACUCUGAGAUAUCAGUGCCAAGUUGGGAUUUUGGAGAGACGUUUGCGACCAGAUACGAAAGUGUUAGGCAAAGAACUAAAAUUGGAUUGAUAGAUCUCGUUGCAAGGAAGACACAACAACUUUCGGAUCUCAAUUACGAGGUAAUCUCAGUUAGUUACUCAAUCUACAAGUUGAGAUACGUUUCUGAAAUCGGUUCAGAUCUGGUUUUUCUGUUUCGCAGAGCCACAUUGGGAAGAGAUUUCUAGUUGAUACAAAACGAUUUAGGUGACGUUCAUGAUAUUGUUAGAGAGCUGACGUUACCAGCUUUCUAUAUCCACUAAGAACGCUUCAUUACGAGGUAAACUCAGGAAGUUAUUCGAUCUUCAAUUUGGAGAAAAGUCACUGUUUUCUGAAUCCAGAAAUUCCAAAUCAGAAACCUGUUUUUCCAGUUUCACAUAGGGGUUUUGUGAGAAGGUUUUCCGGUGAACCAGAGAGAGUUAGGACGCGAGUAAGGUGUCUCUGGAAAGAUCUAGCUGCAAGGAAUCUAUAUCUUUUGACGUUAUCUUGUUUAGAGUUUCAGAUCACUAGAACAGAGUGUCAGCCCGCUAGUUUCAGAACCCACUUUCAACCUUAAGGCAAAGGUGAGGGUGCGAUCUGUAGACUUUUAUUAUUAUUAGUCAAGUUGUAUUCUUAAAUGCUAGGUCUAGAAAUUUGGUAUGUUUGAUUGUUUGAUGAUUACUUGUGAUGAUAAUGUUGAUGACGAUCUGUUAGUUGAUAAAUGUUAAAGUGAUAAGUGAUGAAGUUGUUAGGUAAAUAUUAAAUGUGCAAAGUCGGACUGAGGACGAGGACAUAGCGAUCCCAUCAAAGCCCGUAAACCGGCUGACGAGCCCAAGGUGGCGUACGGCCUUUCGAGGUGACGGCCAGCCUAAGUUGUCAUGUUAUUAUUAAUAUUGGAAAUGGUUAUGAGAUGAAAAAUGUUAAUGCGAUUAAUGAAUGUGUAUUGAAAUAAAUGAUGUGUUAUGUUUGUUAAUUGCUUAAUAUGUUGGGUGAUGAAUGCUCUAGGACUACUAAUUUCGCAUGCAAGUUGGUUAAUAAUGUUAGGAGUCAUGUGGGCAGAAAUGACCAUCCUCACUGAAUGACUGUGUGUUAUUCACCAUUUUUCCUCUUUCAAUUUCGGUGUAUGCAGGUGUUUCUUGUUGUUCAAGUUAGGGCACAAGAGUAUGAUUUGACAGACGGGCAUUACAAUAACACUUUUUCUGAAGAGCCUUUUGGUAAAGAACGUACAGGAAGAGAAACCUGCAUGGGUUUUGAUUUCGGAUUAAGAGAGUCCCUCCGUGUUUUGACAUCAAUCACUCCAG